AAUAAAAUGGCUGAAAUAAUAAGCGAUAAAUUGUAAAUUUAUUUAUGGGAAAUAUAUUCUCUUUUAUUA
rnacentral:tRNA from 1 species